AUUCAAAUAUCUUAUAUAGAGUAUAACACUGAAGCUGUUAUUGAGAUAAUUAUUAAUAUCUUUGAAUA
rnacentral:tRNA from 1 species